GACGAACGCUGGCGGCGUGCUUAACACAUGCAAGUCGAACGAAGAGCGAUGGAAGCUUGCUUCUAUCAAUCUUAGUGGCGAACGGGUGAGUAACGCGUAAUCAACCUGCCCUUCAGAGGGGGACAACAGUUGGAAACGACUGCUAAUACCGCAUACGAUCUAAUCUCGGCAUCGAGGAUAGAUGAAAGGUGGCCUCUACAUGUAAGCUAUCACUGAAGGAGGGGAUUGCGUCUGAUUAGCUAGUUGGAGGGGUAACGGCCCACCAAGGCGAUGAUCAGUAGCCGGUCUGAGAGGAUGAACGGCCACAUUGGGACUGAGACACGGCCCAGACUCCUACGGGAGGCAGCAGUGGGGAAUCUUCCGCAAUGGACGAAAGUCUGACGGAGUAACGCCGCGUGGGCGAGGACGGCCUUCGGGUUGUAAAGCUCUGUUAAUCGGGACGAAAGGCCUUCUUGCGAAUAGUGAGAAGGAUUGACGGUACCGGAAUAGAAAGCCACGGCUAACUACGUG
rnacentral:rRNA from 1 species